rnacentral:rRNA from 1 species
CCUACGGGUGGCAGCAGUGAGGAAUAUUGGUCAAUGGUCGGGAGACUGAACCAGCCAAGCCGCGUGAGUGAAGAAGUAUUUCGGUAUGUAAAGCUCUAUCAGCAGGGAAGAAAAUGACAGUACCUGACCAAGAAGCCCCGGCUAACUACGUGCCAGCAGCCGCGGUAAUACGUAGGGGGCAAGCGUUAUCCGGAUUUACUGGGUGUAAAGGGAGCGUAGACGGUUAUGUAAGUCUGGAGUGAAAGCCCGGGGCCCAACCCCGGGACUGCUUUGGAAACUGUGUAACUGGAGUACAGGAGGGGCAGGCGGAAUUCCUGGUGUAGCGGUGAAAUGCGUAGAUAUCAGGAGGAACACCGGCGGCGAAGGCGGCCUGCUGGACUGAAACUGACGUUGAGGCUCGAAAGCGUGGGGAGCAAACAGGAUUAGAUACCCGGGUAGUC